rnacentral:rRNA from 1 species
UUAUCCGGAUUUAUUGGGUUUAAAGGGUGCGUAGGCGGUUUGAUAAGUUAGAGGUGAAAUUUCGGGGCUCAACCCUGGAACUGCCUCUAAUACUGUUGAGCUAGAGAGUAGUUGCGGUAGGCGGAAUGUAUGGUGUAGCGGUGAAAUGCUUAGAGAUCAUACAGAAUACCGAUUGCGAAGGCAGCUUACCAAACUAUAUCUGACGUUGAGGCACGAAAGCGUGGGGAGCAAACAGGAUUAGAUACCCUGGUAGUCCACGCAGUAAACGAUGAUAACUCGUUGUCGGCGAUACACAGUCGGUGACUAAGCGAAAGCGAUAAGUUAUCCACCUGGGGAGUACGUUCGCAAGAAUGAAACUCAAAGGAAUUGACGGGGGCCCGCACAAGCGGAGGAACAUGUGGUUUAAUUC